AAAAAAAAAAAAAAAAUUAUCGAGCGCUGCGGGAGGGCUCAGGCGGAAGCCUGACGCCUCCCGUACCUCAAACCCCUUGCAAGAGCGUAAAACUUGUUGCUUCGGCGUGCUGGCCUCGCGGCCACCGCCAGAAGGUUGCGAAACUCGUCUCAACCGUGAAGUCAGAGCUAUACUGAAAAAAUUUUAAA
rnacentral:misc_RNA from 1 species